GUGUCAAGUCUGCUUCAUUCCAUUACUACCCCAUCUCCUCGUGGAGCCCGGGAUGGUGCAUCAUCUGCCAAGGCAGCCGUGGUGGGGACCCAGGAGCCCCGUCCCAUCCCCGCAGCACGGCGGGCUGGUGCCUCUCCCCUCCUGCCUUUCUCAUCUGCGACAGUAACAGCUUUCCCUUCGUUUAAUCUGUGCAGCUCAGAAGGCUGGAGAUGAGAAGGAAAAUUUCCUCCACAGAAGGCUCAAGGAGUUACUGAAAAUUGAAAGAGCAGAAGAAAAGACGCUGAAAUUCACCCCAAGGGCGAGGAGCUCCGGGCCAGUCCUGCCUCCUGUGAAACGCGGCAACGCCUCCGACACCUCUGACUGAAGAGAAAUAAAAGCAGUGCCCUGAAGUGCUUCCACAGGGCUCGGGGCUUUCGGCUGACACUGGGAAGAGACAAGAACACAGAGAAAGUUUUCUCCCAUCUCCUCCCCUCUGCAGUUGAACAGAGCUUUGUGCUGCUCUCACACAGAAACGUCUCAUGAAUUCUGUGACGUUCUUUAUUUGCUUCUUGCGCUUGAGAGGUCAAUCCUGACCUACGCUUGAAAUGAACUUUUGAUGUGACACCUUCAUCUCUGCAGCAGACAGGGCUUCAUCUUUCUGUUUGUCCCACCUACAGACAACUCUUCUCUGCUUUCUUUAAGAGAGCCACGGGCCAUUUAUCGUGCACUUCUUGCUCUCAGAACCUUCUUUCUAAUGUCAAGUGAAGAGCAGCUUCCACAGAAAGUGUGUAUAGAAUUUGGGGACUAUGUCACACCUCUGAAUGUGAUGGACGUCACCGUAAGGACCAAACACAUUCUAGUGAUCAAACCCAAAGUAGGAAACAACUACUCAGGGAAAGUGAAGUGUCUCUGAAGACAUCUGACAGGGCAAGAGGAAGCACCAGGGAUGCAAGAAGGAGAGGAAUGACCUGCAGAGCUUGCUGGCACCACCACUUCUGGAAAUCCUGGGACAACAGCAGCCCCCAGAGAUCUGCCCCUGUGCCAAGCAUGGAGCAGAGACUGCCAAGGUCUGCAGGGGGGAUCCAGGUCUGGUGCCAUGGCAGAACAGGACUUGCAAAAAACAACCAUGCAGGUACUGCUGCAAAGGCCCCUGGGGCUUCCUCUCCACCCUUGCUUUAGACAGCCAUGAUAAUUCUGAGUUUUAUUAUAUUUUUUACAAGCAUAGAUCUCAAAACCCUAUGGUACAGGCUCAUCAUUACCGUCUUACAGAUGGGGUCGCUGAAGCAUAAAGAAGGGAAAUGACUUCCCUGGAACCAUUAACUGGGCAAAUGACAGGGCUAAAAAUAGAGACCAACCUUUCAUACGACACAACUGCCAUUCCCAUCUCAGAGAAGAGAUGCCAAGGAAGUUGGUCAAAGCAGGUAACAACUAUUUAACCCAUGCAGAACCUCGAUGCUCUUGGUAAGAUGUUUUCAUGAGAUGCUCCACCAAGAACACUCCAAUGAGCCAACACUUUUUUGGAGAAAAAAUGGUUGACAGAAAGGACAGCAAGCCACAUAUGGCUGUAGUGCAUGUCAAUCACACAAAGCCUAAUGUGUUCAGAAGUUCCAAAUGCCUUUUAAAGCUAAUGGUCUGUGCACUAAUAGCUCCUGGCCCUGGCAUCCAGGCUGGCAGCUGGUGCCCCUAAUUGGUAGCCCCGAGGAUGAGCACGUGGGCAGGCAACUGGAUUUCAGGAGCAGCGAAUGGAUUGGGAUCCCUGCCUUGCUAAUUCCAUCCUUCAGCAUGGUCUUUAAUCAAGAUGAAAAGUCAAAAGACCACGAGGGGGUAACAAACAGCAGCUCUGCCCGGUUCCCGGCGUCCAGCUCGCUCAGACCUGACAGGCAUUGCCAGGAACAGCCAGGACAGCAACAGCUCAUCAAACUGCCUGAGCUGCAGCUGUUCUUCUUCCCUGUGGUGCCUGCUGGACAAAGCUGGAAAUAGCAUCAGAGCAUGACACUCCUGUCUCCGGCCUUUUUGGGGAUGCAGCGUCGAUUAUUUGAGGGGUGGAUGUCAAGUCGUAUAAAAGCUUCCAAACACCUCCAGCUAAGCCCAGCAGAAGCAAACAGCCUGACAUGGGCUUGUAACACCUACUAGUGAUGGCAUUAGCACCCCUCCUCCUUUUCUCCUUCCUGGUGUCUGCCUGGUGGAGUGUGGAGGAGAAUCACCCUGUAAGGCAGGGCCAGGGCAGAGAGAGCAAGAGCACUGAAAUGGCUGAGGAAGGUUGUCAGGGAGCUGAAGCCGUUCAAGGAGGUGUCAUGUAUUGGUGAAGGCAGUGUGGAGUGAUCCAGCCUGCAGCCAGAGGGUGGCUUGAAAGCUGGUGUGUUGCCUCAGCUUAACAGAGCAAUGGGUACCACCUGUUUCUGUGACAAGGCAUCCUCUGGUGUCUGUUUUUAACACAACAGUUAAAGUUUUGAUGUUCCCUGAGAAGAUUAACACAAUUAAAGUUAACCCAUUCCAACACCUUUUGCCUCUGUCCCCUCAAGAGCUGGGCUGGCUCAGACAUGGGAGUUGCAAAGUCCCUGCAGCUGCUGAGAAUCUCCUGCUGAUGCUCUGCACAUAUCUAGCACCAGCUCCAGUCUCCUGGAUGAAUUGGAAUAAUUUCAGAUUGAAAUCUUUUGGGGAGACUCCUCCUGCCUACCUGACUGAGGUUCUGCAUUCCCCAGUUCCUGUCAGACCUCAGAACUCCUAUUAUCUUCCCAGUAGCUUCUACCUAUUUGUUCCAGAUUGAGCAGUGGAGAUUGGAGUGUCACAGUGAGAUGCAGAAAGAGAUCACCAGCUCUAAGCAUACUCAUCAUUAACCUUCCCACCAUUCUCCAGAAAUAUCCUUUCCCACUCGGCUUGUGACUGAGUCUGAACCUUGCUCCAGAUGGCAGUGGGCUGAGGAGAGGAAAUUUUCCUGCAGUCAGAGCUCAGAGAUACACAAAAGAGGGAAAUUGUGAAAUUGCAAUGACAGGGUUGUUUGGGUAGCUUGUGAUGUUCUGGCUUUAGAGAAAUCCAUGCCUAAUGUGCCUGCAUGGCAAGGUAAACUAAAGACCAUAUAAUUCUAUUUAAGCUUAACACAACAGGAAGAAACCCAUGUCUCCCUGACUCCUGGCUGUCUGCAGGCAUUACAACUGGUUUCUACACGUGCUGCUCAGUCACUCCAUGUUAAAGAGCUUAGGAUAAAGAAUUUCUGGGAUUUGGUUACUACAGGGCUUAAAGGCCUGGCUCUGCCAGACUCACACUUUCUUUGGAUGACCAGGCACAGCGUGACCGUUCAGGGUUCAUGGAAGGGAGUGUCUCCAUGGUCCUUGCACCACCCCAUCCUUUCUCCCUGCUCCCCUCUGCUGUAAAGAUGAAUUUUCCUGCUUCUUUUUUGCUGGUUGUCACAAAACUGAGCCUGAGAUGAGGGAGGAAACCCCUUCCAGAAGCCAGGCUGGAGCUGUGAACGGAGUUUGGUUCAUGCAGUGAAAGGAUAAGAACCUGGGAUUUGGAGUGCUGGGGUGAACUGCUUGUUAGGCAAGACAGGCACAAGGGGCUGGUGCCUUAUAGAGCUGGAGGCUCAACAAGGACUAAGGAAGCAGUUCCCAACACUGUGAGAUGUGGUGCUGCAUUUCUCUAUCAUGAUCUGGUUGUCCCAUAGGAGAGGCUGAAUUCCUUGGAGCUGGUGGACACCAGGCACACCUUGAACUCUCUCCAACCUCUACUUCUCCUCUCUUCGUUUCUCCUGUUACUUCUCAUCCAUUGCAUUUGUCACUGCAUUUUGUCUCCCCACCUUCCCGCUUUUUCUCCUGAUCUUUGCAGUCCUGUUUCCAAGCCUGGAACAUUCAGGAAUAUUUGAGCUCAGCAAAUAUUUUCUCUUUUGUUCAGUGUGGGACUUCUUAAAAGGUUAGCUGUGUUUUAAUGCAGCAUCAUGGGUAGCAGUGUGUUAAAGUUAGAGCAUCGUAUAUUAAACAUGCAAACAGAUACUUUUCACAAAAGCUGCCUCAUCUUUUGCUGUAUAUUAAUAAUGCAGGGAGUUCUAGAUCAUCUGUCCCUGUCAGUGCUGCUGCAUUUUGAUACACUCACAAGGACUGGCUGUUAGAGAGCAAAAUACACGAGGAUGUUCCCUGACCUUUUCUCUCCUCUGCACCUGUAAAUUACAGAGAUCCUGUACAGGCAACCCAGACUGCAUCCUGGCAGCAAUAUUUUGGUAAUGUCCACGUGUGGAGUCUGGAUAUAACCUAGUAUGGAGUGAAUGCUGUUCUGAAAGGUUAUGUUAGUGCAGACCUCGGUGAUCCCCUGAAUUACUUAUAGGAUCCUCUUCUGUGCCAAACAGUGAAAUCUAAUACCCAUUCACACUUCUGAUCUCUGUCUCACAUCCCUGCAGGCAUCCAUCACUGGACACAGUCCUACCUGGAAAACUGUAGGACAGUAGAAGGGAGGCAGCAGGGAACUGGGGAGUUUAUUUAGUCCCUGAGGUUGCAGUGGGCUUCCACAGGACGAUGUGGAUUUUAGAAGCCUGACUCUGUGAAGUGGUGUAUGUCUCCCAUAACAACACUUUUUGUUGAAAAGGUAGGAAGGAGCUGCACUUCUGAGCUCCAAAAGUGGGCAGAGGCUGCACAGAUGGGGUGGGUUGGCAGCCUACAGCUCCCAGCUACUGCUGAGACCCCCCCAGGGAGGGUGUCUCUCCUGUCUCUGCAGAAGUGACUCAGGCCCUAAGAACUUGGGCACUCUCCCUAUGCCCUGCAAUGUCUUUCUCUUCAUGAAAUUCAGCUCCCCUCAUUUGGGUACCUGCAGGUGGCAGGACUGAAGUGGAUGUGGCACCCCUUUUCACCAUCAUCCACGCAAACAGGGCUGGCCUUGGUGAGUGUUUGCAGGCUAACAGCGUGGAAAUGUGGGGUCCAAGGGUCUCCCCUCCAGCUGGCAGGCACAGCUACCACCUGCCUGUGUGGGCAAACACUGGCAGCUGCCGUUGAAAUGCUCAGUUUCCCUUGCUCCAAAAGCCAUAGAGUUAUUCCAAAUGCCACAGUGACAAACACUCCUCCUUUAGCCUCUGUUAUAUUCCCGGAGUUGACGGUGGCAGCAGGAGCUCAGCUCAGGGAGGGGUAUUCCCUUGUUCCCAGCUGGAGCUGUGCCCAGCCUGUGUGGGGUGAGCACAAGGAGAGCUGUGUCCCCAGGGGCAGCUCAUGGGAGAGGUGAAGUUGCUGGAGAAGUGCCCAGCACCCAUGGGCAGAGUCACAGCCAGGGCACCAGGAGCCAGACCCCCAGCAACAGCCUGGGUGGGGCGAGGGGUGACUUUCUGCAGGGAAACACUCUCUGGAACAACCAGGACAAGGACUGAGUCUCCCAGAGCCCUCCCAGGCACUGGUACAUUAUAGCCCCCAGACUGAUGUAAUUAAUGAGACAUCCUGCUUUAUGUAAUAAUGUGUUUUGUGUGACUCACCCUAAUGAACAAAAACAAUACGAUGUGCCGCCUAAUGGGACUCCUGGUCCUUAUGUCCCAGUGCUUGCUGUGAAUUAUUUAAGACAUCUGGAGGGAUUUGUGAGUAAUGAAAUCUCUGCUGAUUCUGUCUCACCUCAGAUGGCCUCAAAGGUCUGGUUCAGCAGCUUUGGUUCUGUUUCAGACUCGCCCUUCACCUGCACGAUGUGCAGCUUGAAAAUUUCCCCACGUUCUUGUCCUCUACUUUCACUUGGCUCUUGGCUGUGUUUCCCUUGCCCUUCCUCAGCUUAAAAAAUAAGAUAUGCCUUUCCUUGUCCCAUGUCUGCCUUGGGUGAGCUAAAUCUAGGUCUGUCAGAAAGGAAGGGGAUCUCAUCCAGGGCAGUGUGUGCCAGGUGUGCUUAAACACUGCCUAAUAUUCAACCUCUUGGGUCUCACGACCCCUCUUCCUCGCAGGUGAGAUCCUCAGAGCCAGAGAACCAUAGGAGCACUCAGGGCUCUGAGUGCCCUUUCCUCAUGGCCAAACUUUAGGCAGCCAAAUGCACCUGGAGAUCCUUUGAAAACAUGGAUAUAAAGUCUGUCAUGGGAGCCUGCCCAAGAUUACAAGCCCACGACAGAGCAAUGGAGAGGGAACGAGUCUCCUUUGAAGGAAGUGACUUUAGAGGUUUUUGUGGAAGCCAAAGUGAGGUGGGUGUUGCAGUGGUGCCACGAAUGGGGUGCUGACACAAACUGCAGUGCCACUGGACACAAAUGCCCUGAGCUCUUGGCCCUUUCUCUCAUUGGGUGCAUGUUGCCUAAUCCUAAAAUAUCUAACCUGUCAUGCUCAAAAAAAGCAGUUUAGGGGGCAAUCUGUCCUUAAAGAGCAGUGGCUGUUAGAAGUACACAAGUUAAGCAGGUGUGGUGGGAUAUUUUUAUCCCCUUUCCAUGAGUAGGAGGAUUUAAGAACACUUCAAAAACAGAACCAAUAUUAGUUUUAAGUACAACGAUUUAAAUAGCUCAUAAUUUUUCUACAGCCAUCAGAGGCCAGAUUUUUGUAGGGUCCAAACCUUUGUCUCACAUUUAAGGUCACAGAAAGAACUUUAAAGGAGGAGCCAAGGGGGUGUGAGUGGUCAAGGUGGGUGGUGGGAGCAUGUCCUGGAUGAUGGCUUGGCUUUUGGCAGUGGUUAUCACUAUUAGUUAAAGAAGUCUGAAGUGUUUUUAAUUCCAGCAGAAUCCAUAUCAAGAAGAGUGGUAAAAUCUACAUCUCAGCUUUCCUGAUGUUCCUGAGCCAGCGCUGUAAAGGAUUGAAGGAAUGACUCCAUACAAAUGGUCUUAAUCAGACAUCCUCCUAUGAUCACCUUCUCACUCCUCCUCUCAUCAAACAACCCUCAAGAAAAUUAACCUAUCCUUGCAUGCAUAGUUAAAAAGAAUGCAAAUAAUCAUGUUAACAAGAUUUAUGUUUAUUCUUGGUAUAAAUUUCCCCACUAGGGAAGUUUGUCUUAAUCUCUACAACAGACUGCAAAUGCUUUGGCCAGUAGAUUGAUGGGCUCUGUGAAUUACCAGGCCUUAGUCAGAGGAUGAUUUGGCUCUUCUGCUCCCCUGAAAGCAAUAGAAACAUAUGGGAUAUUAUGGGAAGAAAAUUUUCUUAAAAAAACUCCCAAGGCUCUGAGAACACCGUGAUUGCUAAUUCUUCCCAAGAUGCAAAGUUUAAAAACAAUUAGAUGGAGGCACAAACUGUGCUGGCAAAUCCAACUCCAUGUGCAGAGUUUUCUCUUUGCAAUUGCAAAUUGAACGGUGAGUUGAAACUCUCCCCUGUGGAAAAGGGGAAAGCACAAAGGCUUCUGCCCCUCUAAAAUCUUGUUUGUCUCUGUGGUGCUUACAGAGCCCUCAUUAACGAAGUAUUUAAGCAUGUUACAACCUUACUGCAGCCCAGGAGAGCAGCAUUCAUUUUGCAGGCACAAAUUGCAGUUACAGGAGCUGUGUUAACACUUACCUUGGCUCAGCUGUCCUGGGAGCAGCCGCCUGCAGCAUCCCAAAACUCCAACCUUAUGGGCAGGCUGUGCUGCAAACCCCAUCUGCUGCUGGGGAAGGUAACAAGGAUCCCUUGGAAAGAUCCUUCUAAGAUCCUUGGGCCAUUUUAUCUCCCCAGCCUCUGUCAUUAGGAGACCCUCACACAGCAGAUAUGUGGGGGACAGGCACAGCCCUGGAGGCCCAUCUGCCUGGGCAGAGACAAAUAUGUUCUUUCUGGGGGCUCUUAAUCUUUCUCCAUACCUAUUUUUACACUCAUUUUGUGCCUCUAAGUAACAGGGAGUAAAAGGAUAUAAAGUGACUUUAAUAUAAUUGAGAAUAAAGUCCUGUAGGUCCCAAGAGGUCUUAGCAAACUCAUCAACACGUGCUAAUUAGAGGUGCUAAAGUGUUUGUGUGUAUGGAUAAUGCAGUUUCUGUAAAAAGAUAAUUUUCUAUCAAAAAAAAAUUAAAUCAAAUCAAUGCAUUUUGUCAAGAAGAUUUAAGUGAAACAUAUCAUUCCAGUCCAGUGGAUCCAGAUUGAACUAUCUUGGCAUAUUAAGUCAAAUCAAAACAUGUCAUUUGCAGUGAAUUCAAUAUCUCUUUGUGUUUGCAGAGCUGGUUCAGUGCCUGCAGGAGCUGUAGGUCAGAUCUUGUGUGACAUCCUACUGCUGCCUGAGAGUGUGGUGGCUCGUGUCCCUCCCCAGGCUUCGUCUGGCCAGGCAGAAGAGAGGGACAGACAGUCCCCCCAAGGAUCUGGGAGAUGCUGUGUGGUUUUUUGAAGGCUCAGGUGGAGGUAAAGCUGCUCAGCAAGGCAAAACUUUUUGAUUUAUGUAGGUAGAAAUGUUUCUAAACAAAACACGUUCAGGUAAUCAGAUUUUCUGAUGGAUGGGAGCUCCAGUUUGCAAUAUUCUCUAACCACAGUUGCCUAUGACUCAUACUUGAUUUGCUUUUUCUUUAGGCAAAACUCCCUCUGUGCCACACCUUGCUGUGUUCUGGGCUGAACCAGCCCAGGCCAGACCAGGAGAGAUGUGUUAGAACCCCCUUUUUUUCCCAAAUCCCGAAAUAUUUUCAGAUUCAGCCAUAUCUGGACUCCUUUUCUUUCUUCCUCUCCUAAUUUUCACAGGCACUUCUGCAGCUGUAGACUUGCACAGAUACUUGAAACCACACCAUUUACAGCACCACUAAUAACAGGUGUCUGCCAGACUCAGAAUGAACAGUCUGUGUGCAUCUUAUGGACUGACAGUCAGAUCUACCUCUAAGCUACCUUCUUUAAGUCCAUGAAAUCCUCUGGAUCUCCGUGAAUUUGCCUGAAUAUAAAUCUGAAGCUCACUGUGCAUGAAUCAAGUUGAACCAGUCCACCUAAUUAAGCAAGGGCUUCUCCCACCCACAACGUUUGCAAACACUGGUCGUGUCCAAGUGAAAUGACAACUGAUUUUAAUCCAAGCUCUGCCCCCCGUGAACAGCAAAGCUCCAAGGGCUGCCCACAGGUUCUGGUUCUGUUCCCCAAACCAUGGCAUUAAAGCUGUGAGGGGUUGGGAUGGCUGACAACCACUGGGUUUGCCUGAGCAAACGAGUGAUGCUGACUUUCUCUCCCAGGCCCACUGGGUGCUGGGUGUGAUUAAAGACAAGCCAAGAAGGACUGUGUGCUAUUAAUUCUAUCGAGGAAAUCUUCUGUGUUAUGCAUUAGAUGUAUGUGGUUUAUUCUGGGGGGAGAGGAAAUAGAAAAGCACCUUUGGUUGUGUUGUAACAUCUGUGAGUACAGCUGGCUCUUUUUCUCUGUGUUCCACUUAUUAUGUGCAAUUUGGAUGUUUUCUUCUCCAAACUCAGAUAACCAAAAAAACACAACACAGCUCUAAAGAGGAGAAACUUGCAGUGCUUGUUAUUACCAGGGCAAAACUCCCACUCCUGUAGCAGAGACAGGAAUGGCCAAGCUCUUAUUCAGCCUUGGUUGUAAUAUCUGCUGUUAUUUGUCAGCCUGCACAUAAUCAGGUAAUUUAAUGUAAUUCCUACGCUUUCAAUCAGGUCUGGUGAGCAGCUGGCAGAAUUCAAGCCUACAGAUUUUGUCUAAUGGCACAGUCUGAUUCCAGACCCAAAGCUGGCUGACAGUGCUGUCUCUGUGUCCACAGCAGAGCCCAGCUCUGCUUCUGCCACUGCAGCCUGGGCUUGGGAAUGGGGAGACUCCAGGCUGGGAUGGGAUCACCUCCAUCCUGCAGGCAGCCUCACCUGGAUGGAAAUGAGAUUAAACACCUUCUCUCUUGUUAAAUGGCUUGAACUGUGUCUUGCUGAGGAGAAGGAGCAAAUACAUGGGGAUGAAGGAGCACAGAUGUCUGGGGUUUGUAUGAACUUUGCUCUAUCUUGAUUCCUAAGUUUGAUCAAGAAAUGUGAUGUUCCAUGUCUUAUUUCUCCUGUCACUGAAAAGCAGCAACACGCCCCUUCCAUGCUGAAGAAGAUGUAAAGCUUAACUCCCAAAUGACCAUGAAAUGGUUUAAUGAAAAAUAGUGAGGAAAUUUGAAAUGUUCAUUAUUGGGCAAGAUUUGAGCAUCCUUUUCCAGACAGCUGCUGCAAAUUCAGGUUUUGCCUUUAAAACAGGGGAAGCCUUGUGUGUGUGCUGCCUGUGUGCAGAGAGGAAGGCAGACCAGCUCCCCCUGAGAAGUGUGGCUCCACCAGCCUCCUUGGGGAAGCACAGCCUGGCCCAUCUGCUGCUCCAGAGCUGGGCUUUAAUAGCUGGAUCUCAGAACAGAUGAGGUCUCCUUCCAGCCCUGCCUGGCUCACUGCUGCCUGAGCCCUCCUGUUUGCCCCUGGCUUUCCUCCUUGCCUGACUGGUGUGUCCAGCUCCAAGUUCAGGUGCCUGUCAGAGUGACAGGCAGCA